rnacentral:misc_RNA from 1 species
GAUGAAGAACGUAGCGAAAUGCGAUAAGUAAUGUGAAUUGCAGAAUUCAGUGAAUCAUCGAAUCUUUGAACGCACAUUGCGCCCGCCAGUAUUCUGGCGGGCAUGCCUGACUGAGCGUCAUUUCAACCCUCAUGCCCCUAGGGCGUGGUGUUGGGGAUCGGCCAAAGCCCGCGAGGGACGGCCGGCCCCUAAAUCUAGUGGCGGACCCGUCGUGGCCUCCUCUGCGAAGUAGUGAUAUUCCGCAUCGGAGAGCGACGAGCCCCUGCCGUUAAACCCCCAACUUUCCAAGGUUGACCUCAGAUCAGGUAGGAAUACCCGCUGAACUUAAGCAUAUCAAUAAGCGGAGGA